rnacentral:rRNA from 1 species
GAUGAACGCUGGCGGCGUGCCUAAUACAUGCAAGUCGAGCGAACAGACGAGGAGCUUGCUCCUCUGACGUUAGCGGCGGACGGGUGAGUAACACGUGGAUAACCUACCUAUAAGACUGGGAUAACUUCGGGAAACCGGAGCUAAUACCGGAUAAUAUAUUGAACCGCAUGGUUCAAUAGUGAAAGACGGUUUUGCUGUCACUUAUAUAUGGAUCCGCGCCGCAUUAGCUAGUUGGUAAGGUAACGGCUUACCAAGGCAACGAUGCGUAGCCGACCUGAGAGGGUGAUCGGCCACACUGGAACUGAGACACGGUCCAGACUCCUACGGGAGGCAGCAGUAGGGAAUCUUCCGCAAAGGGCGAAAGCCUGACGGAGCAACGCCGCGUGAGUGAUGAAGGUCUUCGGAUCGUAAAACUCUGUUAUUAGGGAAGAACAGGUGUGUAAGUAACUAUGCACGUCUUGACGGUACCUAAUCAGAAAGCCACGGCUAACUACGUG